rnacentral:rRNA from 1 species
CCUACGGGUGGCAGCAGUGAGGAAUAUUGGUCAAUGGACGAGAGUCUGAACCAGCCACGUAGCGUGAAGGAUGACUGCCCUAUGGGUUGUAAACUUCUUUUAUAUGGGAAUAAAACGUUCCACGUGUGGGAUUUUGUAUGUACCAUAUGAAUAAGGAUCGGCUAACUCCGUGCCAGCAGCCGCGGUAAUACGGAGGAUCCGAGCGUUAUCCGGAUUUAUUGGGUUUAAAGGGAGCGUAGGUGGAUUGUUAAGUCAGUUGUGAAAGUUUGCGGCUCAACCGUAAAAUUGCAGUUGAAACUGGCAGUCUUGAGUACAGUAGAGGUGGGCGGAAUUCGUGGUGUAGCGGUGAAAUGCUUAGAUAUCACGAAGAACUCCGAUUGCGAAGGCAGUUCACUGGACUGCAACUGACACUGAGGCGCGAAAGUGUGGGUAUCAAACAGGAUUAGAUACCCUUGUAGUC